GCCUGGGUGGCUCAGUCGGUUAAGCGGCCGACUUCGGCUCAGGUCAUGAUCUCGCGGUCCACGGGUUCGAGCCCCGUGUCGGGCU
rnacentral:tRNA from 1 species